AGAGUUUGAUCAUGGCUCAGAUUGAACGCUGGCGGCAUGCCUUACACAUGCAAGUCGAACGGUAACGCGGGGCAACCUGGCGACGAGUGGCGAACGGGUGAGUAAUGCAUCGGAACGUGCCCAGUAGUGGGGGAUAGCCCGGCGAAAGCCGGAUUAAUACCGCAUACGACCUACGGGUGAAGGGGGGGGAUCGCAAGACCUCUCGCUAUUGGAGCGGCCGAUGUCAUAUUAGGUAGUUGGUGGGGUAAAGGCCUACCAAGCCGACGAUCUGUAGCUGGUCUGAGAGGACGACCACCCACACUGGGACUGAGACACGGCCCACACUCCUACGGGAGGCAGCAGUGGGGAAUUUUGGACAAUGGGCGCAAGCCUGAUCCAGCCAUGCCGCGUGCGGGAAGAAGGCCUUCGGGUUGUAAACCGCUUUUGUCAGGGAAGAAAUCUUCUGGGUUAAUACCUCGGGAGGAUGACGGUACCUGAAGAAUAAGCACCGGCUAACUACGUGCCAGCAGCCGCGGUAAUACGUAGGGUGCAAGCGUUAAUCGGAAUUACUGGGCGUAAAGCGUGCGCAGGCGGUUGUGCAAGACAGGUGUGACAUCCCCGGGCUUAACCUGGGAACUGCACUUGUGACUGCACAGCUAGAGUACGGCAGAAGGGGGGAUGGAAUUCCGCGUGUAGCAGUGAAAUGCGUAGAUAUGCGGAGGAACACCGAUGGCGAAGGCACUCCCCUGGGCCUGUACUGACGCUCAUGCACGAAAGCGUGGAGAGCAAACAAGAUUAGAUACCCCUGGUAGUCCACGCCCUAAACGAUGUCAAGCUGGUUUGUUGGGACUGCUUGCUGUUCAGUAACGUAGCUAACGCGUGAGUCGACCGCCUGGGGGAGUACGGCCGCAAGGUUGAAACUCAAAGUAUUGACGAGCUACACACAGCGAUGGAUGAGUGGUUUAGUUCGGAUGCCAACGGCGAAACAUA
rnacentral:rRNA from 1 species